ensembl:rRNA 5S_rRNA 5S ribosomal RNA
CCUAACGGCCAUCCCACCCUGGUAACGCCCGAUCUCGUCUGAUCUCGGGAAGCUAAGCAGGGUCGGGCCUGGUUAGUCUUGGAGGGAGACCUCCUGGGAAUACCGGGUGCUGUAGGCU